UGUAUAAGAGACAGCAGCCGCCGCGUAAUACGAAGGGUGCAAGCGUUACUCGGAAUUACUGGGCGUAAAGCGUGUGUAGGUGGUUGUUUAAGUCUGUCGUGAAAGCCCUGGGCUCAACCUGGGAAUUGCGAUGGAUACUGGGCGACUAGAGUGCGGUAGAGGAUAGUGGAAUUUCCGGUGUAGCAGUGAAAUGCGUAGAGAUCGGGAGGAACAUCAGUGGCGAAGGCGGCCAUCUGGGACAACACUGACGCUGAAGCACGAAAGCGUGGGGAGCAAACAGGAUUAGAUACCCCCGUAGUCCCUGUCUUUUAUACA
rnacentral:rRNA from 1 species